rnacentral:rRNA from 1 species
UACGUAGGCAGCGAGCGUUGUCCGGAAUUACUGGGCGUAAAGAGCUCGUAGGUGGUUUGUCGCGUUGUUCGUGAAAUCUCACGGCUUAACUGUGAGCGUGCGGGCGAUACGGGCAGACUAGAGUACUGCAGGGGAGACUGGAAUUCCUGGUGUAGCGGUGGAAUGCGCAGAUAUCAGGAGGAACACCGGUGGCGAAGGCGGGUCUCUGGGCAGUAACUGACGCUGAGGAGCGAAAGCGUGGGGAGCGAACAGG